rnacentral:rRNA from 1 species
UACGGAGGGUGCUAGCGUUGUUCGGAAUUACUGGGCGUAAAGCGCACGUAGGCGGAUAUUUAAGUCAGGGGUGAAAUCCCGGGGCUCAACCCCGGAACUGCCUUUGAUACUGGGUAUCUGGAGGUCGAGAGAGGCGAGUGGAAUUCCGAGUGUAGAGGUGAAAUUCGUAGAUAUUCGGAGGAACACCAGUGGCGAAGGCGGCUCGCUGGCUCGAUACUGACGCUGAGGCGCGAAAGCCAGGGGAGCAAACGGG